UGAGAACAUCUCUCUGCCAGCAGAAAGCAGUGAGAUCACAGAAUGGCUUAGGCUGGAAGGGACAUUUAAGAUCAUCUGGUUCCAAGCCCCCUGCUAUAGGCAGGGAUGCCUCCCUCUAGACCAGGUUGCUCAUGGCCCCAUCCAGCCUGCCCUUGAAUGCUUCCAAGGAGGGGGAAUUCACAGUCUCACUGGACAACCUGUUCCAGUGCCUCAUCAUCCUCACAGUAAAGAAUUUCUUCCUAAUAUCUAGUCUAAAUCUACCCUCUUCCAGUUUAAAGCCAUUUCCCCUUGUUCUGUUGCUGUACGCCCUUAUAAAAAGUCCCUCCCUCAUAGUUCACAGAGUCAUAGAAUAUCCCAAGUUGGAAGGGAUCCACAAGGAUCUUCAAGUCCAGCUUCUGGCUCCACAGAGAAUCCAAUAUGCUGUGGAGAAUAAAAAGAAUGAGAUAUCUGAGUAAAGCAAGACCACUGCAUAAACGUUUCCGGAAGGCAAAACCAGAGAAACUGAAGGGAUCUUAAGGAUGCCUCCACAACCAGCCCAACUCUGGAGUGAGCAACUCCCAAAACACAGCACAAGCCUCCUUCUCUGUAGCUCUCUGCAAUCACAGUACUGAUGACACACAGGGACCUGAGCCUUCCCUAUUUGUGCAUGAAUUCACAGUAAUGGCACACACUUGACCUUGGUGUGUUGAGAGCAGAAUGAGAGGAAAAACAAAGCGAAUCCGAAUCUCCAACUCUGACUGUGUGCUGAUUUUACUGGCUUGGAGACCUCCUGUUGAUUCAGGGAUGUGAAUUCCUGCAAGAGCAGAGGACUGGACCUGAUGAUCUGAAGGUUUCUUCAUGUUUCAAAUGGAGAUCCAGCUCUUCUAGCAGCAAGUUUACUUUGUACAUAUGAAAUGGGAAGUUUCUCAUGUUAUUUUCAAUGCCAGAUAGUACAAUGUAGGACAAUCAUUUGCUAUUUUGCAGAUAACUUACUUUGGUGAUACCAAAUGUGUACUGUUAGGACUAUUGCCAUGUAAAAUAUCACUGUACUAUCAUACUGAGGCAUGGAAAGAUCCAAGCUUAUUGAGAUGGCUUUUGCUUUCAUGUGGAAGGUCCAUAUUGAGAUUUGGUUUGGUAUGGAAGUCUUCUUAGAUAAACUGAGUAUGUAUGUGAGCUCUUAGAUGCUUCUACUGCACAUAGAAAAUUGAUUAGCACUACUGUAGCUCUUCCAGAAUAGCACUCUGUAUGGGAACAGUUGAAUCACGGCCUGAACCUCUGAUUGACCACCUGAGGCGAGCACUGAGUCAGGUGCAAGGGCACAGGUGAACACAAUUUCACCUGAGUGACUGGAAGGGAUGGAGCCAGGCUCCACCCCUCCUAGGCCCCAUUUAAGGGCUGACUCCCAAGGAGGAAGGAUCUCUAGCUGGAGGAGUGAUCUCUAGGAUCGCUCCUCUUAGAGUCCUUCUGUGAGCCCAGGACACGGGUAGGAUCUUUAUUUCAUUACUCCUUUGUAAUGUGAUAAUCUCUCUGGUCCUGUAUACCUAUUUGCCAUACACGCUCUUUGUCAGCACUCCCAAAUAAAAAUCACCUUAUCCAUAUAUAAAAGUGUGGGGAGGGGCAAUUGUCUGUUUAUUCUGCCUACACCUUGUGCUUGUGCCUGUUCACAGCAAUUUUCUGCAUGUGUGAAUUUGUUCUAGAAGUUCUCAUCAUCUAUGGUACAAGUUUUUAACCCAGUGCUGCUACCCUGUACCCAGCAGACAUCUGCACACAUCCACCUCAAUUCCUGGGGCACUUUCUUCUCAUCUUGUUGUGAGAGAGCCUAAUUAAUUUAAAAGAGGGUACAAGGGCCUUAGCACAACCACACUUCAGCAGGAAACCAUUGCCUCUCUCCAUCUCAUCAAACUUGAGUGGAGGAAGGGAGGUGUCUGUAGCUCGGCUGAGCUGUUGCAGAACGUGGUGCAGAUUUUCAGGUUGUAAAUUAGUUUUAAUUUGCAUCAACAGUUGUGUGCGUCUCUGGCUUACUUCUAAACUGCAGAAGUGAGAGCAAUUAGUCUGAUUAAGUACAUGACUGCUGAGCAGUCAGUAUAGACUCUAAUAAAGCAUGUAUGCUUUUUCAUUAAAACAAUUUUCAUAAUGUAAUUCUAUGAAGGCUUGUUUUCAUUCACUGAACUCCAUAUUAACUGUUAACAGAAAGCAGAGCAAGAGUUUUAAGGGCUACCUCGCCAUCUUCCCGUUGCCAUCUUUACUGCACAAUAUAUUCAGUUGUGCCAGUAGAAAAGCAGUCACACAACCAGUAGCAUCUUUAGACUUUUUUUGUUUCCUCAUUCAUUUAUUUGCAUCAAAUAACUUCUACACAUUCUGUGUUGUAUUUAUUUUUGUUUUGACAUACAUAGAUUUAAAUUCUUUGUGUUAGGAAUGUUCUUGUUAUUUAACUGCUCAGCACUUUUUUUCAAGUGGUGUUCUGAUCUUCAGAUAUGACCUAACAGAAUAGAAUGAUGAAAAUUGUUGCAGUAAAAUAUAAUGAUAAAAAUAAUGCCUCUCAAAGGGCACACAUGCAAAUGGCUUUUCAGAUGUUGUGAAGAACUUUUAUUUACCAAAUGGUUGAGAGACUUUAUAAAUUAGAGAUUGCCAUUAAGGCUUUGAAUUUAUCCUCGUGUACUUGAGGACAUAAGGGGAUUCCUGUCCAUAAAUCUGCAGUGCUCAUUCAGGAAGAUGGCAAUCAUGUGUGAUUCAAGUGAUUUACGAUAUGCAAAAGCAGCAAAUCACAAAGCCACAGCAGUUAAUAACAGCAAUCAGAUAAAAAUGUUUCUGCAAAACACGUCUAGUAUGAAUGAUGAGUAUUAAUAAAUAUCACUGGCUUAAUGCAAAUAAUAUAUCACAUUAUUAAAUAUCACAUUAAUAAAUCUCACAAUCUGCU
ensembl:lncRNA